UGCCAUGUUCAGAGCACUGCUUGGCUUCAAUUACAGUCUCUAAUGGUGUUUCUGUGGGCUACGUGCUUCCAAGAGGAAUAGCCACGUGAUGACCACAAUCCUCACCGUCGGGAGGACUCUUCCUUAAGACCCUUAAUGGCAUAUUGAUGUGAUUUAGGGUAGAAUGAAGAUGGCGGUUGCUGCCAGUUGCUGGGCGUGAGAGCACA
rnacentral:lncRNA from 1 species